rnacentral:lncRNA from 1 species
GUCUGCCCUGGGAUGGCCUUCCCUGCACGCGCGCGUUUGUAUCUAAAUCGCAGGGGACCGUCUCUUCCUCAGCUUGCCGGCGCGAGGAGCCAGAGCCUCGAGUUAGGGCCACACGGGGGAAUUUGGGGCGGGUUGACUUUUCCCGCAACAUAUUUUGUCAGAGACCUUGGAGAAAGUCCUACUGCUGGCGCCUUUUAGUUUCCUCAGAUGAUAACAUUCCCAACUCCGCUCGAAGCGUCCAGUCUUAAUCCCCUCCAGCAGAAUGGUGCUGACUAACUCAGAUGUCUGAGAUCCGCAGCUGUGUCAAUAAUAGGGCUUUCUGGCAAACUUGUGAACGUAGGCUCGAAAUUGUUUUUCUGGACGCUUGAAUAUCAGUAUAUUCAGUUGAAAACAUGUGAUUUUGUUGCCAGUUUAUCAGUUCCUACCUGGCCUCCCGAGGUCAGUCCUUCAGGACUGACGCUGCAACUCCAACUCCCAUGUUUCUUUUAAAUCACAAAGGAAAAUAUCUUUUAAAAAUCAGGAUACACUGAUUAAUUAUGUUAGUAACUAAUUGGCAUUUGUUGAAUCAAAAAGUUUUGGAAGCGUUAAAUAGUUUUAGCCUCUAAUUUUACAAUAAAGUGAAGCUCAAAGUUGGGAAUUUGACCGGAUGAGGGCUACAAGCCUAUCCUUUCCUCCUCCCUCUUCAUCUUUCCCAACCUGUCACCCUGGCUCGUUUAUGUCUCUGUAUAGUUGUAGGCUUUCAUCAUUAUACAGAGAAAAUAACAAAGUAAGUAGUGUCUUCUAAACAUCUAGCCAUUAAUUCCACCAAUCCAUUCCAUUUUCAUUCAAGAAAUACCAGAGAUGCUGAGUAAAGAUUAAUUAGCUGCCUGGUUCCACAGAUACAUGGGAACAAAUCCAGAAUAGUAGUAGCUCAAAUCCAAAUAUAGUAACAAAUAGAAGUUAUAUAUUUUAAACGAAAAUAGUAGAUUUUCCCAUGAUCUCUUGAAAGAAAAAUAAAAUUAUAUUUUUAAAGUUUUGUUGAGUAGACUUGCAUUGUAGUUUUACGGAAUUAUUUUUAGUGUUACAAUCUUUAAAAGUUUUCCCCUUAGAUUGUUUAUCAGCCAGUCUCUCUCUCCCGAAGAGUUCUUUAGUUUUUGAGGAAGUUGAUUUGGAGGCAGUUCUUACAAUGAGUUAAGGGUUCCCAGUUGUGUUACAGUUUCUUUUUCCUUGAUAUCUCAUUUCUACUCUGCCAACAAGAACACCAUGCACCCCAGCUCUAAAGAAGGAAGACUUUCAAGGUAAGUGACCUUCCUGAUUGAACUGAGUUA